rnacentral:rRNA from 1 species
CAGAGGGUGCGAGCGUUAAUCGGAAUUACUGGGCGUAAAGCGUGCGUAGACGGUUGUUUAAGUCGGAUGUGAAAGCCCCGGGCUCAACCUGGGAAUUGCAUUCGAGACUGAAUAGCUAGGGUGCGGUAGAGGGAAGCGGAAUUUCCGGUGUAGCGGUGGAAUGCGUAGAUAUCGGAAGGAACAUCAGUGGCGAAAGCGGCUUCCUGGACCAGCACCGACGUUCAGGCACGAAAGCGUGGGGAGCAAACAGGAUUAGAUACCCUGGUAGUCCACGCCAUAAACGAUGAGGACUAGACGUUGGAGGGGUAAGCCUUUCAGUGUCGUAGCUAACGCGCUAAGUCCUCCGCCUGGGGAGUACGGCCGCAAGGUUG